rnacentral:lncRNA from 1 species
AGGUGGUAGUAAAUUGUGUGUAGUUAGUAUAGUUUUCCUUGCAGAAAAACAUGGGCACCGUAUUGGGUUUCUCUUGUUCCCAGCCUGGGGUUUUGUCCUCACAUUGUACAGUAUCCAUUCUGAACGGACACACCUGGCAUUCCCAGGUGUUUCUGAGAGACACAGGCCUUGACUCUGAGUGAGUCCUUGUGAGUGGAUAUGGCUGUCAGUGCACUGAGAACAACACUUCUUGCCUCUCAGGAUCUUGAAGCAAGAGCACCCCGAGUUGGCAGUCCUGGCAGACUCGGUUGACCUUCAGGAGUCCACAGGGAUAGCUUCCGACAGCUCCAGCGACUCUUCCAGCUCCUCCAGCUCCAGUUCGUCAGACUCCGACUCAGAGUGCGAGUCUGGAUCCGAGGGCGAUGGGACAGUGCACCGCAGGAAGAAGAGGAGGACGUGCAGCAUGGUGGGAAACGGGGACACCACCUCCCAGGACGACUGUGUCAGCAAAGAGCGCAGCUCCUCCAGGAUUAGGGACACUUGUGGAGGCCGGGCUCACCCCUGAGCAGAUAAAGAGACUCUCCCUGAGGUGCUUUCAGCGUAAGCUUUUGGCAGCCACCCAACUCAGUUCUCGCGUCUUCUGCUCCUACCUUCUCCUCUGUCUUCUUUGAAUUUGGAUAUUCCUUCCCUGGUCCAAGCUCCUAUCUUCGGUCAAAUGCUGUUUUUACUGCUUCCUAAGGAUAGAUUAUCAAGAAGUUUAACAGCUCGGCCAGCUCAGUGAAACACUGAAGCUAACGGGAUGUUGGGUAAGAAGGUUCUGUGCUGUCUCAUUGAAAACCGAGCCGGUCAACCACAAGGCUGGCGGGGUGUGAUCCUUGUAACGUCUUGUGUCUGUUACCUCACGGAUGUCGGUAAGGAGUUUCCACAGAGCCAGCUGUGUACCACAGAGACUGAGAGUGGUGAGUGGACUUUGUGAGCCAAUUAUGUGUCGGAAGGACUUGGAGUCUGCCCUUCUUCCUGUAUGUCAUCAUCAGCCAACAGAUGCAUUCAGUGGCAGUGACCCAGCACCAUCACCAUCACCCACUGCUCAUUCUGUCUUAGGAUUCCUUAUCUUUUUCUCCAUCAUCAUAGAGACUGUGAAAUUUCAGGGGUGUUUUUGUACAGUGUAUUUUUUUGUGGGGGGGUGAUACAUUGGGGUUUUUUGUUUGCAUAGAGUGGGAAUGGUGUGCAAUGUGCUCUUACCACAGAACUUAAAGUAUGAAUAGGCUCCAUUCUUCCGCACCAUGGGAUCCAUAAGAAGUGCUCACUUUGUGAGGUACUCUGAGAUUAGCGUUCCCCAUUUGUUUGACCUACAGACGUUAAGUGGGUGACUUGUGUUACACACGGGGAGUAAAUUCAGAGAUGGCACCUGUAGUCUUUGCAGUCUGUUGAUACUUCUAAAUAACUAACUGGAUGACUUUUUGGGGAUUGACCGGCAGAUGCCAUCUCUUGCCCUCUUGAUUCACCUGCUUGCCUUAAUUUGUCCCUAAAUUCAACUAAACUUUAAUAAGAGGGGUUGUCAAGGCCAUGGGGCACACUUGGAAGCACUGCCUGGGCUGGAGCGUUGGAGGCAUUGGCAGGCAGGUGGGAAGGAGCUCUCACUGCAGUGUUCACAGGCAGGGAGGCUGUGUGUGGAUGCGUUAGAAUUGUGUGCUGUUGCCUCUCAAAAUAUCCACUAGAAACAGGUGUAACCAGGAAAAUACAGGUCUCUGCUCACUGUUAUUAACAGACUGUCAUUUCCUGACAUUGGGUCAUGUGGCUUUACUCUAGGAGACUGGUUCUCUGUUUUUGUCUUAGUUCAAUUUUCUGCAUCCUCAAAUGCCAACCCCAGUAUGUGGCUGGGUAGGUAGAACUGUGCUGCCUGCUUGCCAUGGGGGCUGCUCUCCCUCCUUACCCCCACGCCCACAGCCCCCUUGGUUCUGUGGUGGGCACGGGAUGUGUUUGGGUGUGAGUAAAGUCAAACUCUGAAUGUAUAAUCUCUUGGUAGUAAUAUCUGAGUGGUGUUGCUCCUCCUGCUUUUUAAAAAGACUUUUCUUGCCAUCUACAAAAAGCUUUUUUCUUUUUCCCAGCAUUGCUCCUGUGCUGCCACACUUGCCCUUUUUCCUUACCUUCCUUUCAGUUUUCUAUCAACAACAACUCUAAACUUCAGUUUAAAAUAAAAAACAGCCCAAAAAGGCUCUUUGCCACCAGGGGGCGUGGUAGGACACGUUGCCAGUGGUCUGGAUAGGGGAGCAGAAAUUUUGAAUUUUAAAAAUUAGCCACCAAGGCCAGGUGCAGUGGCUCAACACCUGUAAUCCCAGCACUUUGGGAAGCUGAGGCAGGGGGAUUGCUUGAGUCCAGGAGUUCAAGACCAGUCUGGGCAACAUAGUGAGAUCCCAUCUCUCAAAAAAAAUAAUAAAUCUAGAAAAUAAAGAUUAGCCACCCAGUUUUCCUUCUCCAGAUGCUAAAGGUGAUUCCUGUUUGAUAACAGUAUUCCAGAAAUGAGGGGAAUAACAUAUCUGAUAGGUCCAAGUCAGCUCUGGAUAGUACAGUGUCUGGAUAGUACAGAUUCUGUGCUCCUGGGACAUGCUUUGUUUAUUCCUGCCAGGCCAGGGAUUCAGCAGCCCUAUUCCCCAACCCCCGUUACCGUCUCUGUGGGCUAGCCAGGCUGUCCGUUAUGUAAGCACAGCAGGGGCAAGGUGGGGAAACCGUGUGUGGAAAAGGAGUGGAGUGGUGGCGGGUGGCCAAGGUAGACUAGGAAGAGUGGGUACCCAGAGACCACUUGUUCAGAAGUUAACUCCUCUUCCCAUCUGGCGUGAGCUACUCCAUUGAAUGGUGCCAACAACAGUAAAGUGAAGGAGAUAACGUUAGAUUAUUUUCAGGGAUGAUUCUCCAAGAUGACAGCAGAUCUUAAAAUCAAAGAGCUGGGUCCUGGAAGAAGGGAUCUUGGAUUAUUAACUUCUGAUGGAAGGACCAGAGUGGGAGAGACAAGAGUUGGGGACCUAGAACAUCAGGAGGACCCUGGGUCUUUGGGGAUGAGGCUUCACCAUCAGCUGGAAGAAUCCAUGCUUCACACACAUGCCUCUGCCAUUAGUGGUACUGGGAUGUUUAGGGUGACAUCCUUGAGGGGAGAGCCACUGAAAAGAGGGACAUUCACAUUUUGCUGUAUUCUUGCAGCUGUCCAUGUCUUAAUAAUUCAAGCUGUUCAAUAGAUGUUUGAGGGCCAGGCACUGCUCUUGAGGUGCUGGAGAUAACGGUGACAAGCCCAGGUCCCUGACAAACUCCACAAGCUUAAUGGACAGUGAAUGUGCGGCUGUUCACAGGGCCGCUGGUGAGGGCAGGUAGAAGGAAGUGCAGACCUUCUUAAAUGCAGGUGUACCGGAUCUACAUGAAAGAGCAUAAUUAACACCAAUGUAUACUUAAGGUAGUAACAGCUUCUUCAUAAAGUAGCAAAACUAAGGAUCUGUGGGAAGGUUGCUGGUGCAAAUGCUUUAUAAGCUUACUAGAGACUCAGCCUUGGAUUUAGGACUUUAGACGAGUAUAGGAUGGAACAACAUUUUUGCAGUAAAUGUAAAAAAUGCUGUGUAGGAGGAAGGCGUAUAAGGAUGCCCCAGCUGUAGGUUCUUUAGAUUGUCUGUAGUAUUUCCACGAGUAAUUUGUUUUUGAUGUGUGUACUGGUAUUGCUGGUAGAUUUGAAGUGGAGUCUGGCGGCUUCUUCCACACUCCCCUCCCACUAGCUUGUGUCAAGAUGUGACAUCCUAUGCAGCAAAACUAGGUGAGCUUGCACCCCCAGGCGGUGGCUCUCAACUUUGUCUCAUUGUUCAGAAAUUUCGGCCAGGCGCCGUAGCUCACCCCUGUAAUCCCAGCACUUUGGGAGGCCAUGGCAGGUGGAUCACUUGAGGUCAGGAGUUCAAGACCAGCCUGGCCAACACGGUGAAACCCCGUCUCUACUAAAAAAACAAAAAUUAGCCAGGUGUGGUGGCACAUGCCUGUAGUCCCAGCUACUUGGUCAACUCAGGCAGGAGAAUCACUUGAACCCAGGAGGCAGAGGUUGCAGUGAGCUGAGAUCAAGCCACUCCAGCCUGGGUGACAGACCGAGACUCUGUCUUUAAAAAAAAAGAAAUGUCAUCUAAGCCCCAGUGAACCUCCUGGGAGGAGAGCUAGCCCUGGCCAGCUGUCUCCAAAGUGACUGGAUGCUACAGAAGAACUGGGACUGUCUUCUGCACACUCGUGCCUCCUGGAGUUGUCAGAACACUGAGCAGUCUCCUAGUUCUGCGUCAGUCUAGCCAUGGGGUCUGCCAUGAAAGCUUGUGGAUCUGCUAUUGGGUUGGUAUUUUAAACUUUCACUUGGGUGAAACUUGUUCAUCAUUUUAAAUAAAG